rnacentral:rRNA from 1 species
CUACACAUGCAAGUCGAACGGUAGCACAGAGAGCUUGCUCUCGGGUGACGAGUGGCGGACGGGUGAGUAAUGUCUGGGAAACUGCCUGAUGGAGGGGGAUAACUACUGGAAACGGUAGCUAAUACCGCAUAACGUCGCAAGACCAAAGAGGGGGACCUUCGGGCCUCUUGCCAUCAGAUGUGCCCAGAUGGGAUUAGCUAGUAGGUGGGGUAACGGCUCACCUAGGCGACGAUCCCUAGCUGGUCUGAGAGGAUGACCAGCCACACUGGAACUGAGACACGGUCCAGACUCCUACGGGAGGCAGCAGUGGGGAAUAUUGCACAAUGGGCGCAAGCCUGAUGCAGCCAUGCCGCGUGUAUGAAGAAGGCCUUCGGGUUGUAAAGUACUUUCAGCGGGGAGGAAGGUGUUGUGGUU